GGCCGUGUACCAAAGUGGACUAAUGGGGCUGAUUGCAAAUCAGUUGUUCGUGGGUUCGAAUCCCACCGCGGCCU
rnacentral:tRNA from 1 species